UCUAUAUUUGCUGAAGAUCUAAAAGAGGCCAUUUUAACCCUCUAGGGCUGACGCCAUCAUAUACAACGGCUGGGACCAAGUUUUACUAAAUUAUAAAUAACUGUUUAAUGAUAUGAGAUAGAAACUUACUUUUUUUGCUGAAAAGU